CAUAGCGACUAUCGUGGCAUAUCAAUAAGCGGAGGAAAAGAAACUAACAAGGAUUCCCCUAGUAACGGCGAGUGAAGCGGGAAGAGCUCAAAUUUGAAAUCUUCAAGGUUUUACCUUGACGAAUUGUAGUUUAAAGAAGUGUUUUCUGUUAGAGAGUAGGUAAAAGUUCUUUGGAAUAGGACAUCAUAGAGGGUGAGAAUCCCGUAUUCGACCAGUUACUUUCCAGCUGUGUGAUACACUUUCAAAGAGUCGGAUUGUUUGGGAAUGCAGUCCAAAAUGGGUGGUAAAUUUCAUCUAAAGCUAAAUAUUGGCGAGAGACCGAUAGCGAACAAGUACCGUGAGGGAAAGAUGAAAAGAACUUUGAAAAGAGAGUUAAACAGUACGUGAAAUUGUCAAAAGGGAAGCGUUUGACACCAGUGUUGUUUUCUCGAAAAUCAAUUAAAAAUAAAUUUGAUUUUGUGUUGUAUUGACCUUAAAAGCUUUCUUCACUUUUUUCAUGUUUAUUUUUAAUGCACUUUUCGUUUAACAAGUCAACAUCAGUUUCUUUGUUGUAAAAAGGUCAUUGGAAGGUGGCUUUCUUUUCGGAGAAAGUGUUUAUAGCCUUUGACUCCUGCAAUCGGAGAGACUGAGGUCUACAGCGUAGAUCCUUCUGGAUUAGAUUCAUUUGUGCUAAGUUAUAGCUUUUCAGUAGACAACUUGUUGACUAUGUUUAGUCAUGUAGCUUACUCGCUUAUGUAAUUUUACCUACGCUUAGGAUGUUGAUAGUCACAGCGUGUAC
rnacentral:rRNA from 1 species